UUUCGCUCUUCUUUUAUAAAGCACCAUUUGUCACAGCAGCACUGCCAUUUACAGACAAGAAGGGAACUACUGAUAACAUUCAGGCUCUGCACAAGCACAUGAUCAAAAGAACUAGCUUUUGAGGGAAAACCAAGGCAAUCAUGAGCAUCAUUGGCUUAGCAUACAAGCUUAUUUGCAAAACAUUACAGAAGGUGGUCACAGAAGACUAUCAGAAAUAUUGUCUCAGAAAAUAGCACAAAACUGUUGAGGAAAGAAUAAGCUAAUUGCAUAUCAUAUGACCCUGAUAAAUCCAUUUAUUCCCAGAA